GACGUAGGGCGCGAGCGUUGUCCGGAAUUAUUGGGCGUAAAGAGCUUGUAGGCGGUUUGUCGCGUCUGCUGUGAAAAUCCGGGGCUCAACCCCGAGCCUGCAGUGGAUACGGGCUAGCUAGAGUGCGGUAGGGGAGACUGGAAUUCCUGGUGUAGCGGUGAAAUGCGCAGAUAUCAGGAGGAACACCAAUGGCGAAGGCAGCUCGCUGGGACGGUACUGACGCUGAGGCGCGAAAGCGUGGGGAGCAAACAGG
rnacentral:rRNA from 1 species